CUCAUAUCGAAACCUUGGUUGGAGGAGCAAGCAGGUGGCUUCUGUGGGCCCAGCUGCAGUCACUACAUUCGCAAGGGACAAUUACUCUUCCUUCAUUCCCCCAGCUUAGGCAGCACAGUUCUAGGUGCUGGGGACAUAAGGAUGCCUAGAAGGCCCAGCAAGCAAACGUGCUGGGGCACGGGGCUCUGGUUAUCCUAGGGCUCUGAAGAUCAUGCACACCUGGCAGCAGUACCUGCAGCCCAGACCAAGAGGUGACCAGCAAAGGACACCUGUGACGACUCUCAGCAUGGGGGUCGUUGUGGACCAGGCAGUUGCUGCUUACUUUCUCAAACCCACUGAGGGACUUUCAGUACUCCCAAGGAAGGGAAGGAGCCAGAACUUAACCAGGUGCUCUGCACCGCGGCUGGCUCGUAAUGGCAUUGUCCCUCCCUGUCUCAGUCAGCAUCCACUUUUCCAAAAUCGGAGCUCCGCCUUCUCAGCCGGUUCUCUCCCAGGGCAGAUUCCAGGAACAGAUGGCCGGAGGAGUGUCCCGCCCCACCCUGAGCAGAGGGAAGGAGCCACUGGCACUUGCUGGAAUAUUUGAGGAUGAGAGGGUCCAACGGAUGGGCCAGUCGGCAAGGGCUGGAGGGUGUGGAGCCCCAGGAGGUCUAAGAAACCGCAGGUCUUGAAGAGCUACUGAACCCUCAGAAGAAGGCUUCUCAACAAACAGAGCACACUGAGCCAGAGGCCAAGCUUUCACAAGCCUGGCAUGGUCAAGAGCAGCACUUGCUGGGCCUGGUGACCCUCAGAGACGGGGAGGAGCUGCCGGGGAAGGCAGGCUCUUCCUACUCAUCCAUCUGUCCAGGACCAAUGCGGCCCUCCGCACAGACAAGGUCACGUCUGGGGUGCGGCCACCUCAAGAUUGUGCUCAGCCAAGUGUUUCUGUGGCUGAGAGGGGUGGGCACCUCUCUGGAGACAGGAAAUAGAGAUGCCCACUCCUACAGCAAUCCCACUUCUAAGACGCUGCUUUCAACAACGUUAAAUCAGGAUUUUUACACAAGAACUCUGACUGCAGCAGAAAACAAGACAGCUAUAAGCAAUGAGAUGUUUACCCACAGAGUUAAAGAUAGUCCAGCUAAGCUGGGGGCAGUGGCUCAUUCUGGCAGGCUGAGGCAGGAGCAUCAGAGAUUCAAGCCCAGGCUGGGCAACUUUUCAGCUUAGAAAGAAUCUGUAUCAAAAUAAAAAAUAAAAAGGGUCUUCGGGCCGGCCCCCUGCCCCAUAGGCGCCCGGAAGGAGGGCCCCCGGCACACAGGAAGCCGCUCGGUGGUGAGCACUGUUGCGCGCUGGCCCUCAGGCCGGCCGCCGCAGCUCAAUUGAGAACUACCAUGACACAGAGAAACAGUGACACAAUUGG